ACGGAGGGUGCGAGCGUUAAUCGGAAUCACUGGGCGUAAAGCGCACGUAGGCGGUGUCGUAAGUCGGAUGUGAAAGCCCUCGGCUCAACCGGGGAACUGCAUUCGAUACUGCGAGGCUUGAGUGCCGGAGAGGGUGGCGGAAUUCCAGGUGUAGGAGUGAAAGGCGUAGAUAUCUGGAGGAACACCAGUGGCGAAGGCGGCCACCUGUAAGGCAACUGACGCUGAGGUGCUAGAGCGUGGGGAACAAACAG
rnacentral:rRNA from 1 species